rnacentral:lncRNA from 1 species
GGUUCAUGAGAAGUGGCAAAAUGCAAUACAUCAUGGGAAAAUGUACCUACAAGAAGAUCAAUGGGACGACGAUCUAGUGCUUCGAUGUCCUAUGCUUAGCUGAUGUACUCUUGCGUAUGGUUGAGAACAAUAAUCUGUAAUUCGAUUAUUAAUUCCCAGGAACAUCAGAAUAUUUGUAACAGGACAACAUCUUUUGCGACUAAUCAACAAGACAGUGAGGAAUCAACCAACAGUCAUACUUAUGUGGGACGCCUUGGCCUAAUUGCAGACACCUCAAAUGCAUUCUUGUGACAAUGGGACCACGAGGCAUAGAAAAGUACAUCAAAUUAAUCAUCCUUGUUUGCAUUAAUAAAAUUAACUACCAUUGCCAAGGUGAGCUCAUCUCCCUGAAAGGGUAGAAAUAUGUCAAAUUCAAAUUUUACAAAUAAAACUUAUAGAAAACCCUUAUGCUCAAAGCUUCGGUUGCUCUCUAUUGUAGUACAACCGAAAACAAAAGGAAAUAGUAAGGCACAUACCUUGCAAAAACCUCACAGAUUGCCACUUCUCAUGAUUGGAUUGAAC